CUUGAGAAUUACAACACACUAACAGCAGAGAAACAACAACACAAGAAAGAAAAUAAAGAAGUAGCAGACAAGAAAAGAAACAGAGAUGACAAUUAAGAAAAGAGACUUGUUUAUUUUUCAAGCAGAUAUCCCUGCAACACCCCAUAUCUGCCUAUUUAACGAAGUCUUGGUGUCGUUACAACCCAAAUAAUCAGAACCACCUAAGUAUUUACAACCAUUAAGAUCGGAACCACCAAAACCAUAUGCUUUGACUUCCAAAACUCACCAUAUUAUUCUUAAAACAUAAAGAAACAAAACAACAUGUCAAUAGUGUAAAUGAGCACGUGACAAUGUAGCAUCAUUGAAAUGAAAAUUGCUAAAGAAAAAUGGCGGACCUCGAAACUCCGACGUCGAAGAUAGUUUUCAAUUUAUGCAGCAGCAGCAGCAACAAUUAUAACCUCAAGGCUCAUACCAGCAGCAAUUUCCACCACCAAAUUCAACAGGGGAGGGAUGGGAGACCGUAGACUGAAGACGGGUGAGGGAUUUGCCUAACCUCAGAAAGCCUGGUGAACCGAUGAAGAAAUGAAGAACAUUGGAGAGUUUUGAU